AGUUUGAUCCUGGCUCAGAUUGAACGCUGGCGGCAUGCUUUACACAUGCAAGUCGAACGGUAACAGGUCUUCGGAUGCUGACGAGUGGCGAACGGGUGAGUAAUGCAUCGGAACGUGCCCAGUCGUGGGGGAUAACGCAGCGAAAGCUGUGCUAAUACCGCAUACGAUCUAUGGAUGAAAGCGGGGGAUCGAAAGACCUCGCGCGAUUGGAGCGGCCGAUGUCAGAUUAGCUAGUUGGUGGGGUAAAGGCCCACCAAGGCGACGAUCUGUAGCUGGUCUGAGAGGACGACCAGCCACACUGGGACUGAGACACGGCCCAGACUCCUACGGGAGGCAGCAGUGGGGAAUUUUGGACAAUGGGCGCAAGCCUGAUC
rnacentral:rRNA from 1 species